AUUGAACGCUGGCGGCAUGCCUUACACAUGCAAGUCGAACGGUAACAGGUCUUCGGAUGCUGACGAGUGGCGAACGGGUGAGUAAUACAUCGGAACGUGCCCGAUCGUGGGGGAUAACGGAGCGAAAGCUUUGCUAAUACCGCAUACGAUCUACGGAUGAAAGCAGGGGACCGCAAGGCCUUGCGCGGACGGAGCGGCCGAUGGCAGAUUAGGUAGUUGGUGGGAUAAAAGCUUACCAAGCCGACGAUCUGUAGCUGGUCUGAGAGGACGACCAGCCACACUGGGACUGAGACACGGCCCAGACUCCUACGGGAGGCAGCAGUGGGGAAUUUUGGACAAUGGGCGCAAGCCUGAUCCAGCCAUGCCGCGUGCAGGAUGAAGGCCUUCGGGUUGUAAACUGCUUUUGUACGGAACGAAAAGACUCUUUCUAAUAAAGAGGGUCCAUGACGGUACCAUAAGAAUAAGCACCGGCUAACUACGUGCCAGCCGCCGCUGUAACAC
rnacentral:rRNA from 1 species